UGGGCCGUCAGCUCUCCCGGUCUCGCGUCGUUACCCCUGCGUGAAGCGGUGAGUCGCGCGCGGGUCGGCGAUUCACUCUGGGGGUCUCCGCCGCUGAACCCUACUGAAAGACUGACCGGCGGAAACUGGGACUGGAGUGUGAGCAUCUGAGGGGCUCUCCAGUGGGGCUUGGAGAGGAAUGUCUCAAAUGACUUUUCUUGAAAGCUGAGUGGUUCUACCCCUGGAAGCCUGCACAGCGUCUUCUUCUCCACCUGACCAACGGAAAAACUCAAGCAAAGGGUUUUUCAGUGAAUGACCAAAAUUUUGCAAAGGAGAAGGGAAUCAUGAACAAAUCACCUUUCUAUAAGACACCACAAAGGAUGACUGGAGAUCUGAAUCGGAAAUGCCACUGCAGCCUUGUGACCCAAGGCUCUGGAAUGGAUCAGCCCUCCUACUCACUCCCUCCUGCACACACCGCGUCUCCAUGGAAACAGCUUGUCAGGCCCUGUUUGGCUGCAGGUUCUGAAGACCUCUCAUCUGCAGCCCCAGUCCUGCACAGAUUCAGUCUUAAUAAGCCAGGCUUCUAAGGAGGAACUUGUACUAGAAGGCCCAUCCUCUCUAGCUGAUGGGGUCUGGAAUUGUCCUUAAGUCUCCUUUGGGGUAUACCUGGGGAGUCCUGAAUGCCACUGAGUUGCCCUGACCUUCCAACACUGAUAUUCAGGUCAAUGGCAGGUUUCCAUCCUGGGUUUCUGCUUCAACCUGAACUCAUCAUCUCCUUCCAGCAAGCCUUCUGCUCCCAUCAUCUCUCCCCACCCACCAAGGGUGAAAGUCAUUCCGAGCUCUACAGGCCCCACCUGUGGCUAAUCACCAAGAGUCUUCUGUUGUCGGGCAUCAUUCAUCCAUCAGAUCGGAUCAGGCAUUUGCUACACUGCCAGGACACUGCGACUUGGACUGCUGGCCACUGUCCUUGGGGGUACAUCUACAAAUGGGCAGUAAUGGAGAGAACUUAAAGGCAUUAAACAUCAUAGAUGAGGGUGGAAGUACACGUUUUCUGUUUCUUUAAGCUAGACAAAAACCUAACAGUCUGAAUUGGAAUACUAUCACUCAUAACUUCUACUAUAUAAAUAAAUAAUUUUAACAAGUAUACGGUCCUAGUAGACAUGAGACAGUUAAUGUAGACACCAAGGAACAACUGGGUCAUUUGCCUCAGUACUGAGGUAGUUUCUUAAUUGGACGUGUUAGGAGUGGUAGAAGAUCUCAUCUGUUGACAACUUAGAAAGUUGCAGUUGAGGAGGCAAAAGGAAAACAGAAAUCAUAAGCACUUUUACACAUAUGAAGUUGUUAAUAGGCAGCUUCUAACUCUAUGUAUGUUCGUAUUACUAAAGCCUAGAACAGCACUCAGAGUACUUGUAAGUGCUCAACAACUGUUUGUUUAACCAAAACCAAACUAAAAGCAAAACAAAAUGAAACAAACAAAACUGGUACUAGGGGCUUCCCUGGUGGCGCAGUGGUUGAGAGUCUGCCUGCCGAUGCAGGGGACAUGGGUUCGUGCCCCGGUCCGGGAAGAUCCCACAUGCCGUGGAGCGGCUGGGCCUGUGAGCCAUGGCCACUGAGCCUGCACGUCCGGAGCCUGUGCUCCACAACAGGAGAGGCCACAACAGUGAGAG